GACGAACGUUGGCGGCGUGCUUAAUACAUGCAAGUCAACUGAAGCAGUGGUAGCAAUAUCGCUGUGGAGGUGGCGCACGGGGGAGUAACACGUAGGUAAUCUGCCUUCAGGUCUGGCAUAACUCCGGGAAACCGGGGCUAAUAGCAGAUGAUGCAGCGGCUCGACAUCGAGACAGUUGUUAAAGCUAUGGCGCCUGAAGAUGAGCCUGCGUCUGAUUAGCUAGUUGGCGGGGUAACGGCCCACCAAGGCAACGAUCAGUAGCUGGUCUGAGAGGAUGAUCAGCCACACUGGAACUGAGACACGGUCCAGACUCCUACGGGAGGCAGCAGUAAGGAAUAUUGCUCAAUGGGAGAAAUCCUGAAGCAGCAACGCCGCGUGAGGGACGAAGGGCUUUUGCUUGUAAACCUCUGUAGUGAGAGAAAAAAAUCCCAAUCUUUGGGACAUGAUGGUAUCUCAAAAGUAAGCCCCGGCUAACUACGUG
rnacentral:rRNA from 1 species